UUGAACGCUGGCGGCAGGCCUAACACAUGCAAGUCGAGCGGAUGAAGGGAGCUUGCUCCUGGAUUCAGCGGCGGACGGGUGAGUAAUGCCUAGGAAUCUGCCUGGUAGUGGGGGAUAACGUCCGGAAACGGGCGCUAAUACCGCAUACGUCCUGAGGGAGAAAGUGGGGGAUCUUCGGACCUCACGCUAUCAGAUGAGCCUAGGUCGGAUUAGCUAGUUGGUGGGGUAAAGGCCUACCAAGGCGACGAUCCGUAACUGGUCUGAGAGGAUGAUCAGUCACACUGGAACUGAGACACGGUCCAGACUCCUACGGGAGGCAGCAGUGGGGAAUAUUGGACAAUGGGCGAAAGCCUGAUCCAGCCAUGCCGCGUGUGUGAAGAAGGUCUUCGGAUUGUAAAGCACUUUAAGUUGGGAGGAAGGGCAGUAAGUUAAUACCUUGCUGUUUUGACGUUACCAACAGAAUAAGCUCCGGCUAACUUCGUG
rnacentral:rRNA from 1 species